rnacentral:lncRNA from 10 species
AUUCGGCUACUGAGAACGUCGUAGGCGGUGUUGCUGAGCAGUGGGGAGGAGUGGGCUCGCUUCCUGGGGUCUUUUCCGCCUGCAUCUUUUGGGGGACAGGCAGUAGGGUUGGGGUAAAGGCAUGUGGAAUGCUUGCUAAGGCCUGGAGUGGAGCGAGGCGAGGCGACUUGGAGAGGACUCGAAGGAGGUUGGGGAUCUGGGAGGGCGGAAAUGGGACGGGGACGGUGGGGUGAGGUCUUUGUCGUCCCUAAUCAGCGCCCUUACGGAUGAGCCGAGGCAGCUUCCGCUGUGAGCACGGGCACCGAAGCUGGGACAGCAGGCUUAGGUUCUAGUUCCGUGUCUGCUGCUAACUAGCUGUUUAACCUCGCUUAGGGCACUUCCCAUCUGUAAGCCUCACUUGCAGUCUGUGCUGUGAGUGGGGUCGGCCUCACAGGUAGUGAUGCGCCGCCUGGGUCCCUUUGAUAGUUUCAGAAAGCUUUCUUGAGACUCAGAAUAUUUAUUAGUUUUUAUCAAUAAAAAAAUCAUAGCAAUAAGAUCAAAGGUGGCUCACACCGUGGGAGGCGCAGGCGGGAGGAUCUCUUGAGCCCAGGAGUUCGAGACCAGCCUGGGCAACAUCGGGAGACCCCAUCUCUACAAAACAUUUAAAAAAAAUUAUCCAGGCGUGGUGGUGCGUGCUUGUAGUCCCAACUACUCGGGUAUCUGAGGUGGGAGGAUCAGUUGAGCCCAAGGAGUUUAGGGCUGCAGUGAACCUGGAUUGCGCUACUGCACUCCAGCCUGGGUGACAGAGUGAGACCCUGUCUCCAAAAUAAAUAAAUAAAUUCCAUAUAAAUAAAUAAAUGAAUAAACAAACUCCAUUGCUCAGUGGAAAGGUGCAGGAAGGCCUGGUGCAGACUUCUCAGCAGUGACCCAGUGUUGGGCAGAACUGUGGAGCCCCAAUUUCUGCUGAGCACUGGGCCUGUGCUGGGUGGGAGAGAAAAGAAAUACGGUCCCUUUAUGCUAAGUCAGUGGUUCUCAACUUUGAGUACAGUAUACAUUUCUUUACAGGGGAUUCUGGGAGUAUGUCCAAAGGUUUUAGUUUGAGAAACAUUGGCUUAAACAAUUUCUUUGGUGGUGACCUUGUACCAUUUUGAUUUUAAACAUUAGACUGCAGGCACUGAAAUUGGUUCAUCCCAGUGACCCCGCGUGCAUUGACUUUAUAAAAUUUAUGUAUUAGUUUUUGCAUAUGUAGUACACUUAUGCAUUUAUUUUAUACGUAUAAAAUUUGGAAAGACCACAUUUAAACCAAAACAUGCUGCCUUUGCAGAUGCCUGAAAAUUGUAAUUUAUGGGACUGAUAGAGAACUUUUAUUAUUUUUAAAAUUAACCAAUAAGAAUUGUAUGUAUUUAUGGUAUACAAUAUGGUUUGAAAUGUGUAUACAUUGUGUAAUGGCUAAAUGAGCUAUGAGCGAUGCUAAUACACUCAUUUUGUGAUGAGAACACUUCAGACCUACUCUCAGUGAAAUUCAGGUUAUUAACUGAAAUUCACUGUUAUUAACUAUAGUCACCAUGUUGUACAAUAGAGCCCUUCACAAAUGUGAACUUUAAAAUCAAAUGAGACAGCAGAAGAUGUUAGCCAGUUUCAGAGCUGUGUACUCAAGGGGGGCCCUUUUAGGCAAGACCUCUGUGAUUAUGGAGAUUAAUGAGAAGACCUGUGUCUUUGAAAGUUUUUUUCUAGGGUUGUUAGGACUCUUAACUCCCAGUUGACUCCUUCUGGGAUCCCUGGAUAACUGCCAGUCUCCCCUCGAAUUCCCUGAUGGUGGUGGGGUGGGUCGUCCUUGAGUUGCAAUUACAACAUAGUUCCUUCAUCAUUAAAAUAUUUUUUUUUUUGAGACGGAGUCUUGCUGUGUUGUCCAGGCUGGAGUGCAAUGGUGUGAUCUCGGCUCACUGCAACCUCUGCCUCCUAGGUUGAAGUGAUUCUCCUGCCUCAGCCUCCUGAGUAGCUGAGAUUACAGGCACACACCACCACGCCCAGCUAAUUUUUGUAUUUUUAGUAGAGACAGGGUUUUACCAUGUUGGUCAGGUUGGUCUCGAACUCCUGAUCUCAUGAUCCACCCGCCUCGGCCUCCCAAAGUGCUGAGAUUACAGGGGUGAGCCACUGCGCCCAGCCUAAAAUAUUUUUUAAAAAGCAAACAAACAAAAAAAAUAAAAAGCAAACAAACCACUUGAUUAUUCUCAGAAAAUGUUUCUGUAUGCAGAGAGAUACCUGUGAGGAUGUUUGUGAUUUUUGUUUAUAAUAGCAAAAACUUAAAAACAAUGCUAUAUUUGAUCAUAGUGGAUCAAGCAAAUUAACUAUGUGCUAAUUAGGUAAUUAGGUAUGCUAAUUAAUGCAUUAUUAAAUGCAUUAAUUUACCUGAUUAGUUAGCACACACUUAAUUUGCUUGAUCCACAGACCAAAUACAGGAUCACAAUCACAGGGUAAGCUUUCAUUUCAAAUUUCUUGGUAUCAUACCUGGAGAUUCGUUUUUAUCCAGUGGGUCUCAAUAAUCUGUUUUUAUAAGGUGGGUCCCAGUAAUCUGUUUUUAUAAACUGUUCCUAGGUAUGGCACAUUUGUUACAGUAGGUAGGUAGUCAGGUAUGAGCAGGGCAGGAGAAGGCUCCCCGCUACACACACCAGGGGUGUUGGGCCACCAUCAGGUGAUGGUCAGGUGGUUGUUAACUGUUUCUCUAAAGUAAUUGGCCACAGCUGGCGCUAGGGAACAGGCAGCCGCCUAACAGAUAGAAAACACCUGAAACUGAUCAGCAGCUUCCUGUAAGAUCUCAGGAGUGGGGAGAAGUAAUGUAAGAUCCUGGAAGUAGAUCCUGGAAGUAGGCCAACGUGUAAAACCCCAAGUCAAGGGGUCAGGCUGCGCUCUUGGUUUCUCAAGUUGCCUGCUUGUCCUUCCAACUUGUAUAAUACUUUCCUUUUCUUUCCUUUCCUUACUGUUCAAAAGCUUUGCUUUUUUUUUUUUUUUUUUCCGAGACGGAGUCUUGCUCUAUCUCCUAGGCUGGAGUGCAGUGGCACGAUCUUGGCUCACUGCAACCUCCACCUCCCAGGUUCAAGCGAUUCUCCUGCCUCAGCCUCCCAAGUAGCUGGGAUUAGAGACACACACCACCAUACCCAGCUAAUUUUUGUAUUUUUAGUAGAGAUGGGGUUUCACCAUGUUGGUCAGGCUGGUCUCGAAUUCCUGACCUUGUGAUCCACCCGCCUCGGCCUCCCAAAGUGCUGGGAUUACAGGUGUGAGCCAUCAUGCCCGGCCUAAAGCUUUUUAAUAAACUUCCACUCCUGCUCUGAAACUUGCCUUGGUCUCUUUCUGCUUUUUGCCCCUCAGUCAAAUUCUUUCUUUUGACAAGGCAAAGAUUGAAGUUGCUGCGAACGCGUACGGAUUCGUCUCCAGUUACUUGGGGUAACUCGGUUCUCUGCCACUGCUAACACAUUUCUAUAACAUGAUGGAUUACCAUGCAGCCAUUAAACAAAUUACAUACAAUUUUUAAAAAGGUUACAAACUAAUAAAGCCAAAUAUAUACACAAUAGUUACAUGAAUAUACUAAAAGUUUGUAUAACCGGGUAAGUGAAGUUAUGGGAGAUUUUUCCUUUUGUUUCUCUUUUCUAAAUUGCAUUUGGUGAAAAGACUUUAAUUUUUUUCUUUUUUAUAGCUAUAAAUGAUAAACUUUCAAACAUGGAUACACAUGUGUUUUCCCAGUAGUGGCUUUGUGAAAGUUCCACGAGAAGUCAAUGUUUGAUGGAAUCAUUGCAGGUGACUCCCCUCCGACCUCCAGCAAUUUAUUAUGAAAAACUUCAAAUAUACAGAAUAAUGGAAACAUUUAAACAGUGAACACCCAUAUGCUUUUUGAUUCUACAAUUCACACUUUGUUGUAUUUGUACAGGUUCCUUUUGAUUGUUGCUCUGAGACAUUCAGGCUGCUAUUCUGAGUAUUCAAGAAAAAUCUCAUAUGUAAGCUCAAAAAGAUUAAGCCUCAACUAUUAAGUAAGUGGGUAUCCACGAAAAUUAGGACUUCUGUAAAUAAACACAACUAAAUUUACAGAAACCAUUUAUCUAAUAGCCUCUGACAAUAUAGUGGAGAAGUAUUUUUUUGUGUAUCCCCUCUCCUCC